AAAGUCGUAACAAGGUUUCCGUAGGUGAACCUGCGGAAGGAUCAUUACAAAUCUAAGGCCCCCAUCAUUUUGGUGGUGGGUGGUCUAUAUGUUCGAGGCAGCAAUGCUUCGUUACAUUUACGCUUGUAUGUUUGACAGAGUUAGUGUGAUUUUAAAUAUUGACAACUUUUAACAAUGGAUCUCUUGGCUCUU
rnacentral:misc_RNA from 1 species